rnacentral:rRNA from 1 species
UACACUCCUGCGGGAGGCAGCAGUGGGGAAUAUUGGACAAUGGGCGCAAGCCUGAUCCAGCCAUGCCGCGUGAGUGAUGAAGGCCCUAGGGUUGUAAAGCUCUUUCACCGGUGAAGAUAAUGACGGUAACCGGAGAAGAAGCCCCGGCUAACUUCGUGCCAGCAGCCGCGGUAAUACGAAGGGGGCUAGCGUUGUUCGGAUUUACUGGGCGUAAAGCGCACGUAGGCGGACUAUUAAGUCAGGGGUGAAAUCCCGGGGCUCAACCCCGGAACUGCCUUUGAUACUGGUAGUCUUGAGUUCGAGAGAGGUGAGUGGAAUUCCGAGUGUAGAGGUGAAAUUCGUAGAUAUUCGGAGGAACACCAGUGGCGAAGGCGGCUCACUGGCUCGAUACUGACGCUGAGGUGCGAAAGCGUGGGGGGCAAACAGGAUUAGAAACCCCGGUAGUCCCAUG